GUUAGAGUGACAGUUGGGUAAUUGCCUAAAACUUAAAUCUUUAUAACCAGAGGUUCAAAUCCUCUUCUUAACA
rfam:Ovis aries breed Texel chromosome 7, whole genome shotgun sequence.